GUCAAUAACCCGCGCCCGAGGUAAACCUCGGACGGGGCUUGCAAAAGAAUAAAUUGUUUUAUUUCCACUUUUGUUUAGCUCCGUUACAGUUUACGGAAGGUGUUGGCCGAAAGGCCUUAUUGAUUAGCCUUAGCAGUACUGCUACGUUACCGAUAAAAUAGGCACCGUGGGAUACUCCUCAAGUCUCACGCUCUGCG
rnacentral:sRNA from 10 species